AUACGUAGGGAGCGAGCGUUGUCCGGAAUUACUGGGUGUAAAGGGAGCGUAGGCGGGAUGGCAAGUCAGAUGUGAAAACUAUGGGCUCAACCCAUAGACUGCAUUUGAAACUGUUGUUCUUGAGUGAAGUAGAGGUAAGCGGAAUUCCUGGUGUAGCGGUGAAAUGCGUAGAUAUCAGGAGGAACAUCGGUGGCGAAGGCGGCUUACUUGGCUUUUACUGACGCUGAGGCUCGAAAGCGUGGGGAGCAAACAGGAUUAGAUACCCUGGUAGUCCACGCUGUAAACGAUGAUUACUAGGUGUGGGGGGACUGACCCCUUCCGUGCCGCAGUUAACACAAUAAGUAUUCCGCCUGGGGAGUACGGCCGCAAGGUUGAAACUUAAAGGAAUUGACGGGG
rnacentral:rRNA from 1 species